rnacentral:misc_RNA from 1 species
AGGUUCGCAAGCGGGUAGUGUCGAUCUCCUCUGUCUCUCACGUGAGGAAGUGCGGGACGCUUCACGGACAGUGGAGACCUACACACCGACAUAGGAAAACACAAUCUGACAGCCGCACGUACACGACUUCGGCUUCUUUCGCCCUCACGUGCGGGUUUCCUGUCGUCACGUAGCUCACAAAAUUCAGCCCCGGCACUCCGUGUUUCAUCCUCCGCGCCUGCGCUCCGUCUUCUGCGUACACGUCGUUCACGCGCCCACCCAUACGCACGCGGCUCAUAUACGCGUCGCCUCGUGGGCUCCUCUUGCCGGCGUCGAAACCUUCGUUCGCUGUGCUCUCGCCUUCCCCCCAUCGACCUCUUCUUCGCGCAUCUUUUAAAAGUGGAGGGCGUUGCACACGUUUGUGUGCGUGCUUGUGUGCUUGUGUGUGAUCUCUCGCUGUUUUACUGAGCAGACAUCCUCUGCGUUCUCUCCGGCUCCUACAUCCCUUGAUCCCUUCUCCGCCUCCUGCUCAUCUUCCACGUUGGACGCACUCGUUGAUCGUGUAUCACCGUCCAGCUAUCUCCCGUGCACAGACUGCUGCGAUUCUAUUUCGCCUACCUUUCCUCUCUUUUCGUUGGUUUUGUGUGUCGCUCCGUGUUCCGCCCACCCCCCGCUCGCUUUCGCGGUUUGCAACGACCUCUUGUGCGUUCGUUCUGCGCAGGAGUGUGUGUGUGUGUGGGAAGGGGGGAGGGGCGGUGCGUCGGGGUCGAUCUCCUCCUGCUCCCUUCUCUCUGUCUCUGCCUCUGUCUGUCGGCGUGUGCCGUUCGCGUUGCGGGUGUUCGUUGAUCUUUUCCCCCCUCUGACGCCCACGAGCGUCUCCGUUCUCCUCGCCGUCGGUAUUGCCUUCCGUACUGCCUCACGCACCAAUACACGCAUCUCUCGCCACACCGUCUCUCUUGUCGUUGUUGUGUGCGCCUCUGUGUGUGUGUGCGUGUGUGUCCGUCUGUCUCUGUCGUCUCUUCGUCUUCCCCCUUUCUUUCAUUCAUAUAAUCGUAGCCCGCCUUGCCGCUUCUGCUGCUGAUACGGGUGGUGCUGCAUCAUCAUUCCCACGACUACUACUGCUGUUAUUUUCCUUGUCCAUCCCCCUUUCCCUGUGUCUGUGUGUGUGUGUUGCGCUGUGCAGGAGUGGGGGGGGCAACACUCACGCGCACCGUUUUGAUCUCCGAACGUUUACAUGCAGAUCGGCAUGUCGCACUCGUCGGGCGAACCUCCUCUGCCUCCUCGCCGCCUCGCGUCCCCCGCCUCUGAUCGAUUCGGCCCACUUCUGUGUGCGUGCUCGCCAUUACGUGCGUACUGUGCUCUCCUGCCCGUCUGUCGCCGUCUAUCAUGCCGCUGACGCAGUCGCCGUCCCACACCCCGCCUGCCGCAGGCAGCGGCGGCGACAAGGAGGACGAAGCGGCAAAGACCUGCAUGGCGCCGGAGCGGACGUCGCGGGUGCGAUCCUGCCCAUCACUCCGCUCUGCCAGCGGUGCGACAGCCGAUCCCGACACCUCUGCGGCAACUUCGGAAGUGGUCGGCGGAGACGGUGAAGCUGAGUGCAGUGAUGUCGAAAACCAAAUCGUCUCGGGCACGCAGGAUCAUGCGCUCCUGCUGCCCCGGCUGUCGUCCUCGAUCAGCAUUACUGGCUCGGCAUCGUCGCUCCUGCGACGCCAUCUAUCUUCCUUCUUUAGCGGUGGCGGCAGCACCAGAACUGCCGCCAGAGGCGACGCCAGUAGCAGUAUGGCGGCACCGGAUCGCACUUCGUCUUCCUCCCAAGAAGCCACCACUGCGAAUUCGGAGGUGGAUGGAAAGCCGCUCGAGCGACCGCUGGGCUACAGCAUCAACUCGACCGCCGCUGGCGACUCCGCAUUGGCACCAUCGCGUUCCUCGGUCCAGGGCCGAAGUGUCUCCAGCGUUAGCCAUCGUCUUUAUCGGGCCUACUCCCUCUUCUGGGCUGAUGCAACGGCGUCCUUGGCGUCGCCGUCGACGCUUCUGUGGGGCCCAACACGAACAGCCAGCGCGCCGCUGCCACUGAGCAGCAGCACUCGGGUUGGUCACGAAGAUGCUCCAGAUGCAAGCAUAGAAGCCGUCGUGGCGCACGUGGAGGCAGAGGACUGCUCAGAGUUGACGAGGGCAACCGCAGCGGCAUCAUCCGUGCCUCGAGCAAGGAAGGCAGCACGCGACGGCGGCACUGACGCCAUCCCCCAUCCCCGCAUCGCGAGCGUCGAGCAAAACGGCUGCAGCACCUUUACGGAAGUCACUGCGAAGCAGUCGCCGAUGCUGUCGAUGCGCGGAGCUGCAGACUCAUCCUCUGCUCUGGCCUUUGGCUGCACCCCGCCGGAAGACGUCUUUCGGCGCGAGGCGGUGGCGCAGCACGUCGGUGAGGACGAAAGCAGCUCAUCGAAUUUGAGGUUCUUCUCCUCCACUGCCACCCCCGGCAUGCAUCACGCGCUGUACGCCGUCCCGGGAGCGGAGCAGCACCGUUUCCCAUCGGAAAGUGCAGACGACGCGGGUGACUCUCACCAUUCCAGAGGUUGUAGCAGCGACAGCAAGCCGAGAGAUGCCAGCCGCAAAUAUGUGGCGAAGGAGCGGAGGCCGGGUCGCUACCAGAGUAACGACUUCCACGGUGCAGCGCGAUCGAGGAGCGGGGAUGUCGAGUGUAUCACUAUGUCUUCUCUCGUCGCCCACGUAGCCGUGCCUCCAACUGUCCAGGCAGUGCUGCGGAACUCGGAUGCCACCAAGGAGGAGCUGUGGAUGGCACUGCGAACAGCCUGCCAGCAAUGUGAAGUGCUUCAGCGUCGUCUCGCCCGAGCUGAGGGUGCGCUGGGCAACGAAGAGGAGGUCGAAUGGACAGAGGGCGAGGUCGGGGCGACGGCUGAAGGGGGUGCGCUCGCGCACGUCACAGCCCACCGGCGCCGGAGCGGCAAUGCGGGCAGGACGUCAAGGAGGCCCUGGCGCAGGCACGCCGAUGACGAAGAGCGCACGGCUCCCAAUGCUGGUGGCGCUGUCGAAGGCGUGAGUGAAGGGGAGAAGAGCAUCGCAUCUGAGCAGGCCGACUCAGGGCAGAUGCGCAGCAGCACCGCUCCGCCGACUCCCACACGAACGGACCGCCAAGUCCACCCGGGACACCGAGCGCGGAGGCGCAUUGCGGAGCUGGCCGCUGCUUCUUCUUCAGGCGCUGCUGCUGCCGUCGCGUCAUCGACUCCCCCAUUUCUGGUGUCUGCCCUGCCCGACGGAAGCACCAACGCUGCCGACUUGGACCCUCAUUCCGGGCGUGGUGGUGGCACCGGUGACGCGUCUUCGGUGCUGCGCCAUCGCGUGUCGGAGGCGAUUCGCCGCGUCGAGGCGAAGCGAAAUGGCCCGCUGCGCUCCCCGCACGCGCUCCAGUCACCCGAGACGCACACGCGCCCCAACAGCAGCGGUUUGGAUGGGCCAACGAGCUCGCACGAUGCCGAUGACACCACGCAAAACAGCAGCGACCACCUGCGUCUUUCCCUCUCGCCUCCACCGCAGCCUGAGGCUCAUGGGAACUCCCACAGCACGUCCUCAUCGGAUCUGCAAGCUAGUGGUGCGCGGCACGUCCGUGUCGAGGAUGACGCGCCACCUACUCUUGCACCAACUCCUGGGCUGACCGCGCAUGACCCUCUGAGCCCGACCCGCAUCGAGAGCGGCAGCUCAUCCAGUGGUUCCGACGCAGGCGCUGCGCCGUUGCAUGCGUCUAGGAAUGAAGUCGUGGACAGUGGAGGUGAGACGGCUGGCCCUGGCGAGAGUGGCAUCCUUGUCUCACCCACGCUUCCCGCGAUCACCGAGGUUCAGGCAAAAGCCCCCGUCGCUCAAGACAGCUAUAACUCCGCGGAGCGAGUGCGGCUGGUGCAGUCGCCACAGCAACAGCUUCACCGCCGUCAUCGCGGUGCGUCGUUGGUGUCGCUUUACUCUGCUCCCGCAGCGCUCGACGAGAGCGUGCACUUCAACGGGCCGGCUACCGCGGCGGAAAGCCUGGCUACACUGCAAACAGCUGCAGCCUUCAAGCCGGCCAGCUGGCCGUCUAACGGUCUGCAGUCGAGCUACAGCGGUGGUCGAAGUGCCGGCUUCCAUAGCCGCAGCCCACUCGCGUUCGGCAGCCCGACGCUGCCGAAUACAACGCAGCAUCGGUCGGGGUGGACAGCAUCAACAGGCGCCAACGGUGCUUCCACGGCGGUCAUCGCCAGUCAUGUGACUCCUCUCAGCGGUACGCCGCCUAGUCUGCACUCGUCCGCUCUUUUCGGACUUCCGGCCCCUCCACGUAGUCCCCUCCGCAGUGAGUCAAGUAUGUCGUCUGUCGAGCCGGCGUGGUUGCGACAGCAGCAGCAGCAGCAGCACGCAACGGCGAAGGCGACUCCCUCCAGGGCCGCCGCCGCUGCGCGCAUCUCUGCUGAAGCCAGCCAGCAGGGGUCUCUCUCGUCUACUCGAUCGUGCAGCCCCAACAAGGCGGCUCUUUCGGCCGCCUCCGCGACACUGGAGAUGCUCCGGCAGCUACAGCAGGAAGACGCGCCGGUGCCUCCGGUCACUGGCGACGAUCAGAAGGCAGCGCUGCGUCAGUGGAGACGCGAGGCAGCGGUGAAGAAGGGAAGCGGGACCGCGCCGAUGUGCUAGGCGACGCGGAAGCGUCGUGCAACGUGACUUGGGGGCGAGUUUGCAUCUGCCGACACACCUCUCUGCUGUGGGCCGAGGCGGGCGAGCUGUGUCGAUCGGAUCGAUGCUGCGGCAAGGAAGAACAAUGAGGAAAGGCGCGCAUAUACGGGCGCACGCCUUCAACUCCUUUGCUUGCGUGCCGGUUGCCCAUCUGCCCCCACUUCAUGGAGGAGUGAGGGCAGCCUGCCAAUCCGAAAUAUGCGCGCCGAGCACCACCCCACCCCUGUAGCGUCACUCGUAUUUCUGCUCGGUGUGUCUCUUCUGCUGAUGGGUGCGGCCAGACGCAGUUGUCUGCCGCCAUGUCGGUGCGCGCAGGCCUUCUUGAAAUUUUCGUCGUUUGGCUUUCUCUCUCUAUAUCCACCCCCCCCCCCUGCGUCGCGUCGUUGCCUGUGCGUGGCGUGGUGCCCGGAUGGGGGGAUGCGGUCGCCGUGUUGGAGCCGCUCUUUUUUUUUCGAUGGGUGGGGCGGGGUGUGUCUGUGCUUAACGCCGUGGCUCGAAGGCGGCUUUGAGGAGUCUUUCGUAUGUUGUGCGUGCUGCAUCGACGCGCUGUGUAUGUGCGUGUGUGUGCCCGCCUGCGUGAGUGUUUUGUCUUGCGUGUGCACGCGCCGUUGUCGCGCAGACGCUUUCUCUCGGUGUUUUUGCAUGCGUGAUGCGAUCGCUCGAUAUGCUUCACCCCGUUCUGUGUACGCACGUGCGUGUUUGGGGGGAGGGAGAGGUUGUGUGGGCCGCUAAAGCAGUGCGACCCCCGGUCUUUAAGGGUGCCAGUGCGAGACAAGAAAAAAAAGACAUCAUCAAGCCUCUCUCUCUCAUACCGGCGCUGAUGCCUCACGGAUUCUCAGCGCGUGUGCGCGCGCUCUUAUAUUGCUAGGAUGGUCCUCAACCCAAAGAGCAAUGAAAGUGGUGCAAGCAUAACAAGGUAUGGGCGGAGCUUAGCAGGUGGGGAGGGGCAUCAUUCACUUCCUUUCAUCACUGCCCUUUCACGGGGCCGGCGUGGUUGACGGUGGUGAUAGCUUGUGCCGCUGCUGCAGCGACCGAGACGACGCCCCCCCCGUGCGCACUUUUCCCCUCAUCUCACCUCCUUGCUCCUUCAGCGAUCUCGGUUGAGGAUGGGACUGCACAAAACGACUCUGGUGAGCCCGUGCAUCGACGGAGAGGGCGCUCGGCAUGCUCAGGCGGUGCCCACCCUCUCCCUGGCACCUCCUGGCGAAGGCGCAGAGUUUGUAAGACCGGUGCAGCACUCGCGUCAUGCGCGGACGCCGUCCCAUGAUCGCCUCCCCAGCAGCUCUCUCUCUCUCUGCGCGUUGCACUCCUUCCCUCCCUUCUCCCUCUCGCGGCAUCUUAACUUCGACUCCGUUUAACCGCGCAUCACACUCGUACACCCACGCGCACGUCCACAG